CCACUGUGGCUGUAUUCCAAG
rnacentral:miRNA from 1 species